rnacentral:rRNA from 1 species
AGCGGCGGACGGCUGAGUAACACGUAGGAACGUACCCCAAAGUGAGGGAUAAGCACCAGAAAUGGUGUCUAAUACCGCAUGUGGCCCACGGGCUAAAGCUUUAUGCGCUUUGGGAACGGCCUGCGUAAGAUUAGCUUGUUGGUGAGGUAAUGGCUCACCAAGGCGACGAUCUUUAGCUGGUCUGAGAGGAUGACCAGCCAGACUGGGACUGAGACACGGCCCAGACUCCUACGGGAGGCAGCAGUAGGGAAUUUUCCACAAUGGGCGAAAGCCUGAUGGAGCAACGCCGCGUGCAGGAUGAAGGCCUUCGGGUUGUAAACUGCUUUUACGAGUGAAGAUUAUGACGGUAGCUCGUGAAUAAGGAUCGGCUAACUCCGUGCCAGCAGCCGCGGUCAUACGGAGGAUCCAAGCGUUAUCCGGAAUUACUGGGCGUAAAGAGUGCGUAGGUGGCAUUGUAAGUAGGUAGUGAAAGCGUUCGGCUCAACCGGAUAAACAUUAUCUAAACUGCAAAGCUAGAGGAUGAGAGAGGUUAUUGGAAUUCCCUGUGUAGGAGUGAAAUCCGUAGAAAUAGGGAAGAACACGGAUGGCUAAGGCAGAUUACUGGCCCAUUCCUGUG